rnacentral:rRNA from 1 species
ACAACGAAGAGUUUGAUCCUGGCUCAGGAUGAACGCUAGCGACAGGCUUAACACAUGCAAGUCGAGGGGCAGCACAGGUAGCAAUACCGGGUGGCGACCGGCGCACGGGUGAGUAACGCGUAUGCAACUUGCCUAUCAGAGGGGGAUAACCCGGCGAAAGUCGGACUAAUACCGCAUGAAGCAGGGAUCCCGCAUGGGAAUAUUUGCUAAAGAUUCAUCGCUGAUAGAUAGGCAUGCGUUCCAUUAGGCAGUUGGCGGGGUAACGGCCCACCAAACCGACGAUGGAUAGGGGUUCUGAGAGGAAGGUCCCCCACAUUGGUACUGAGACACGGACCAAACUCCUACGGGAGGCAGCAGUGAGGAAUAUUGGUCAAUGGCCGAGAGGCUGAACCAGCCAAGUCGCGUGAGGGAUGAAGGUUCUAUGGAUCGUAAACCUCUUUUAUAAGGGAAUAAAGUGCGGGACGUGUCCCGUUUUGUAUGUACCUUAUGAAUAAGGAUCGGCUAACUCCGUGCCAGCAGCCGCGGUAAUACGGAGGAUCCGAGCGUUAUCCGGAUUUAUUGGGUUUAAAGGGUGCGUAGGCGGCCUUUUAAGUCAGCGGUGAAAGUCUGUGGCUCAACCAUAGAAUUGCCGUUGAAACUGGGGGGCUUGAGUAUGUUUGAGGCAGGCGGAAUGCGUGGUGUAGCGGUGAAAUGCAUAGAUAUCACGCAGAACCCCGAUUGCGAAGGCAGCCUGCCAAGCCAUUACUGACGCUGAUGCACGAAAGCGUGGGGAUCAAACAGGAUUAGAUACCCUGGUAGUCCACGCAGUAAACGAUGAUCACUAGCUGUUUGCGAUACACUGUAAGCGGCACAGCGAAAGCGUUAAGUGAUCCACCUGGGGAGUACGCCGGCAACGGUGAAACUCAAAGGAAUUGACGGGGGCCCGCACAAGCGGAGGAACAUGUGGUUUAAUUCGAUGAUACGCGAGGAACCUUACCCGGGUUUGAACGCAUUCGGACCGAGGUGGAAACACCUUUUCUAGCAAUAGCCGUUUGCGAGGUGCUGCAUGGUUGUCGUCAGCUCGUGCCGUGAGGUGUCGGCUUAAGUGCCAUAACGAGCGCAACCCUUGCCACUAGUUACUAACAGGUAAAGCUGAGGACUCUGGUGGGACUGCCAGCGUAAGCUGCGAGGAAGGCGGGGAUGACGUCAAAUCAGCACGGCCCUUACAUCCGGGGCGACACACGUGUUACAAUGGCGUGGACAAAGGGAGGCCACCUGGCGACAGGGAGCGAAUCCCCAAACCACGUCUCAGUUCGGAUCGGAGUCUGCAACCCGACUCCGUGAAGCUGGAUUCGCUAGUAAUCGCGCAUCAGCCAUGGCGCGGUGAAUACGUUCCCGGGCCUUGUACACACCGCCCGUCAAGCCAUGGGAGCCGGGGGUACCUGAAGUCCGUAACCGCGAGGAUCGGCCUAGGGUAAAACUGGUGACUGGGGCUAAGUCGUAACAAGGUAGCCGUACCGGAAGGUGCGGCUGGAACACCUCCUUU